CUCUGCGGAUCGCCGCAGCAUGGCGGAUAAAUUCAGCACAGAUUAACCCGUGCUGGAAAGGAAGUCGGGCACAGACACAAAAUAAAACAUCCGGCUUCUUUUCAAAAUAAAACACUCGGUGUUUCAGGAGGAUCGUAUUUCACACCAUGCAAACGGGCGGAGACGAACAAGUGAAAGGUUUUUAGACGUCAUUUCACCCCGAUGACACCAUGGAUGAGGAGAUGCUGAUUCUAGAAGUCUAGAAGUAGAUUUCCUCCUCUGGAAGGACACAAUCUACUGCUUAUAUGUCUAUGUGUCUGUCUUUAAAGAGACAACUCAUUAUCGCGCGAUUGCACGUGAAUCCACGGGUUCUUGUGAGUUCUGGUGAUUACCGCUGUCCGUAAUCAGCCACAAAAUUGGCCUCACAAACAGAUCCGGUGGGAAUCGGUGGACGGCAAAAAUCGCCACCAUUCUGGACAUGGUGGAAAUUCGGAAUUAGUAAGUUCAUGCGACAUAAACUCAAAACCUGGACAUUUGGAGGAUUUUAUAAACUCCCCCGGACAAAGCUGGACAAGAACGGACAGCCCCCCAAAACAGAGGGCAUGUCCGGGUAAAAGAAGACGUAUGGUCACCCUAGUUUGUAUGUAAAAGUAUCUCUCAGCAGAGCUUUCUAACCAGCAGCCCUUCAUAUCAGGACCAGGCUACAAUCUUGAUGACUUUUCUUCAGAACAAAAUGAGGUUGCAGUUUUCUGAGACUGACACAUAAAAUCUGCUAUCUUAGAUUUUCAUAAACUGCUGUGUGAAACCACGGGGUCGAAGCUUGAGGAACUCGGAGAGCUCGCUCUUUGACUCAAUUAUAAUUCCCUCCUCCAGAUGUCCACGGUUUUGUUCUGAUACAAUAACAUCUGUGAUGACGCCCCGGGAUGCCAGCGAGCCAAUGAGCAGGAUCCUCUCAGAGUGAGGUAUGUUAGCAGACGGCGUCGACAAAGCUUCUGCAGCUCGUCCUAUCUUCUGGGGAAUGACAGCGAGGGUACACAACAAGACAGUCAGCAGAGUUCAUUUCCGAUGCAUGCGUCCUGUGGUCUGCACAUCUGCGUCUGGCCCUCCGCAGAAUGGCCCACUUCACUGUGCAUGGCGCCAUAUGGGAGCCCUGUUUGAAGCCACUAGCAUACAACCACGCAAUUAAUUCAGAACUACGCCAGACAAUCUGCUGCGAGACGGCCCUAAUGAAACUGACGUGGAUGGAUUCGGAGAGGGUGAGGCCUUUAGGUGGGGACACACACACACACACAGACACACACAGAGACACAGACGAGCUUGCGUGCAUGCUCACAGACCGCCGGUCAUCCAGUCUGUGCAUUCUGGAAGCAUCUGCAUGACUGCCCUAAAUUUGCCUGACGUGGGCCUGAAAUUGAAUCUAAUGUAGCACUCCCCGGAGACACUGAGCAGCUCGCUGGUAAAUUAUUGAAUAAAAAAAGAGGGUUUGGACGGCGUAAUGUAACCGAAAUAAAUGAGAGGAGAACGGUAAGUCCACACAAGUGUCUGUUGACUCGUUGUUCAGCUCGUUUAUCACGAUCACAGCAUGAAGAGAGUCCGAUCAACAGAAGCUGCUGUCGGAGUUUGAGCUGGUUUAUAUUCGGGGGGAUGUUUUUGACACCACUUUGCUUUAAAAACACAAAACUACGAGGAGAUUUAAUGGCAGCUUUUACUCCUCCUGAACACAAACAUCACUUUAAAAACCCGCAUUAAUUCUCAAUCCUCCCCCAAACACUGACUUUAUGAAUAAUAACCGCUCAGCUCUGAUGUUGUACAGUGUUUUUUAACCCUCUGAACGCUGCAGAACUUCGAUAAUGUCGACUGAAAAUCCUCGUUUAGAUGUAAAUUUUUACAGUUGUGGUUCAUCGGUCUACUCUCACCGUUACUGUUAAAUACAAACUCAAGAAGCAGAGAUGUAAUACAGAUACAAGAAGAGCAGUUUUAGGAAAAGUGAAACAAAAAUUAUUUACCUACUCUUGUGGACCUGGGACUCGACAAACUCUUCUUUCUCGACUUUGCCGUCCUCUGAAGUCACCUUGUGUUUAUCCAGGUUGGGACUGAAGCAGUGAGGUGAUAUCCACGUGUCCGUGGUGUUAGGCCUGGUGAAAAUGGACUGCUGGGCUGCUAACUCACACUUUGUGGACUUUUGGAGCUGGUUUAGCACGUCUGAAAUCACAAGACAGAUGCACUUGUCACUUUGAGCCCACGUAAAACAAAAAUCCUCAUUUAGUUCAACUUUUGGCUGCAAGAACUGUCCGACUUUGGAGGUGCAGCUAAAGCUAACUUAAACAUAUUCAUAACAUAUUCCGAAUCCCUAAAAAGGGUACACAACUACGCGGGGGCAGAGUCACAGAGUUGUGUUAAGUACAUUUUCAGAGUUUUUCAGGUUGGAUCGAGUGUUUUUACGUGCUUCUAACUCAGUUAGUCCAAACGACACAAACGUAGGACUUCCAUACAAAACCCCAACAUUUGAAAGAUUUUGUUAACUCCCCCAAUAAGGCCAGGCAGGCUGGAUAGCCCCCCAAAAAAGAGGACAUGUUCGGGUAAAAGAGGACAUAUGGUAUUAUGCAACAUUUUAUACUUCCUCUUUAACUCCUCUUUAAUAUCUUUACAUCAUUUUCUUAUAAGAGAAAGCCUCCUGAUUCUCAUUGCGAUGUAUUAGAAUAUCAUUAUUCGCUUUAUUUUAGCUGCUGUCUCCUUUAGCGAGUCUCACCUUUUCAUGCACAGUCCCGGUUAGAGCAGUCUACAUCUAUUUUCUAGGAUUUUGACGUGUUAACUCCCCGAUUCGAAACUUUGCAUACGUCGAAUAUGGAAAACCAAAGAUCGUAACUUUGCAGUACCGCUCCUUUAACUGACAGCUAUCCACCACCAUCACACUGACGCUUCGACACGCUCCUGCUUCAAUCAGCCAAUAGAAAAACUGAGAUACUGAUUCAAGUGAAUCUGACAGGAAGUAGAAGUGCGCUUACAGGAAAAGGAUGAUACACAUCACUUGGUAAUCAGUGCAAAGUUGACUCGAACGUCUCAGACCGAGCUGCAGAGAUGAGUGACUCUACAAAAAAGAGUUUAAUUCUGUUUUUGCCAUUUGUGUUUAUGAACUGUGUUUUCUGACACUGACAGGGGAUCAAUUGUGACAGGCACUGCGGGUUGCUGAGGUCUGGAGAUUAAAACAAUUCAGCGUCAAUGUAGGAUCAGGAGCAUCAGUCUCCUCGACUGUGCAGACACUCUGCAGUCGCAGAGAUCUGACAGGAAUACACACCAUCGGCAGCAGCAGCAGCAGCAGCAGCAGCAGCUCUGUAUACGGUGGCAGCUACUGCACCGUGCUUUAAUUCCCAUCUCAUUUCUCAUGCACGAAUCAGACGGGCUCCAGUGCUCUCACAGCUUGUCUUCAUCUGCAGCCCUGCGUCUUUGGUUAUUCCAGCCCGCCGUCAGUCCUCGGCCCGAGCAGACCUUCAAUUAUUUAUAAAGGAUUUUUUCGUUCUUUCGGAGUUUGAAAAAGCUGCAAGAGAUGCAGAUGCAGAGGACGCGCUCGUCUUCCUGCUCUCCUGUGUUUAUUUCCCGGCCUCAUCGUUGAAUUUUGCUUCUGAGCCAUCGGCAGUGACAUUGAGAGGAAAUAGCUUCACAGCAUUAUGGAGAUAUGUUUCCAUUGUGGGAAAGAUUAAAUUAAUCUGCUGUUACUGAGUGCCUUAAUGCAUUCAGCUGGCAUAGUCCCACAACGCAACCUAAUUAUAUCAAUUGAGGGACGAGGGAAAGAGCAGAAAAGACGGAUGAAUGGUAAUUUGACAAACUUGGGUUUGAUGUGCUCCCCUUUUAUCUCAUCUGGAUGCGAUGGUGCUGCCUGAUAAGGAAGGUCAGCCUGGUGUGUUAUCUUUAUUAAAAGUUGGUUCAAAGGAUGCUUGUAAUAAUGAGCCACUCAAUUCAGCGGAUUACAAUCUCUUUGAUCGAAGGUUAAAUACUGAACAUAUGUGCGGGCCCCUUGCAUGUGUUCCCACCAGCUGUGCUGCUAUCGUACAUCAUACAUACUCCAUAUCGGACAUGCCUCGCUAAUUCACUGCUAAGACCCUCUGUUUCCCUGUGGGGCACAGAUCUACCCCUCACACUAACACCGGGCCCCCCUACAGAGGGUCCGAUGAGAUGACAAACAUCUGUAUAGGGACAUGAGGUAUGGCAGCUACUCUUAGCUGCAGUCAAACUGAAUAACUCUGUUUUGGGAUUUAGUGUGGACAUCUGGUAGACGCCGUGAAAUUACAUCUUUCAGGACCCGCCGGGGUUGAGUUAUGUCAGCCAGCAGCAGCAGCAGCAGCAGCAGCAGGUCAGAGUUGAGGCCAGGUAACAGCUGGCUGGAGCGAAGGGUUGGAGGGUGGAUGAAGGUUGGGACUGGGGAUGUUUCAGACACGGUCACUGAAGCACUUAAGUUUAAAUAAGCUUCAGAGCAGAUUACUUCUCAAAGGUGUCACUGUCACGUUUCCUGACAGGACCGCACAGGAGCUGACACUGCCUUCAGUUCGCAUACGCGGUGGUUCUCCUGCUUCCUCUUGCAGACCAAAGACAAGCUUGUCAGGUUCACUGGUCCCUCAUUUGGCUACGGUGUGAGGUUGGCUCGAAUGAGCAUGAAUGAGAUGAGAUGAGAUGACUGAUAAUUCAGGGAUGAUUUCUGCUGUGAAAACAGACUCCUGAGAGUUGAGCUGUAGUCCUGACAAUGUCAUUGUCUGAGUUGAGACAUCUCUGACGAAAUGUGCCGUAAUAAAAUCAAACAUGCAUAAUGAGGGUGUGUUCAGUCCUGUCAAAAGCAAAAACUGUAAAUAUCAGCGACAUUAACAGUGUCAACAACUCAUCCUUGGGUCCAAAAUGGGUUAGGGUCAGUCCCCCCGCUGUCAUUAUGUCCUGAUGCUACUUGGACACUGACUUGCUGCUAGCUAGCUAGGUAUAUCACCAUGAAUGUUAGGGCUGCUGCAAUAUUAGUCUCUUUUCUUUUCAUUUGCCACUUUAUGAUUGCACAAAUGGGUUAGGGUUCGGGUGUUAGGGUUAAACCGAAAACAUACAGGAUCAGUAUUGAGCGCGUUCUGUAUUUGCCCCAUAGAGCAGCAUUGGGUAUCUCAUACAGGAUCAGCUUAUUUGGAGCGUAGCAGCAGUGCAGGAUAUAAUUUGGAUAUAAUUCAGUGACUGUUGAGCCUCUACUGUAUGUGAAAAAGCUUUAAGAGAUUUUACAGUUUGUGUUUUUACAGGUUUCCUGGUGUUUAAUAAAGUAAACUCUGUUCCUUUAUGCUGUUUCCUUCAGACAGAGUUAGCAGGUCAAAGUCCUGUUGGGGUCCACAUGGAUCAGGGAUCGACCAUCGGAUUGUUCUGUGUUACUGAUAAAUCAAGAACGUAUUUCUCAUCGACACGAACUGAUACACAGUAGGGAGUUUGCAUAUGGUGUUUUAUUUUGAAAUACCCGAUGACAUUAGCAGUUUUCAUGCUUGACUUCCUGUCUCGAUCUGUCUCUUGAUCUUCUCUGUGUGGAUUGAUGCGUGUUGUAAGCAUAGAGCAGCAAAAAUAAACUUGUAGUGUAUCUUUAGCAGAGCUGCUCUCAAUACAGAGCUGAUAUGCGUUCUGUAUGCUUUGCUGCAUUGAUUAGAAUGGAAACCUAUUUGCUGCUGCCAUGCUCCAAAUACGCAUCCUGUAUGUUGUCGCCUUUAGCGUUAGGGUUGGGGUUCGUUUUCCUCCUCUUUCAGCGUCUAUGAGAACCACUCAUUUUUGCCUUCCUGCCAUGUUUGUUUGGUAAGUAUGCGGCUUCCUGUUUAGCGCCGGUCAUAGCGUAGCUUUCAUUUUUUUUUGAUAAUUUAAGGAUGAGACUCUAGACCUGUGAUUUCACUAAACAUGUUUGAACAUUAAAUAAAAAACGUCUGAAUUGAGUUUAAAGACUUUCUUUAACUGCGAUCACAUCCAAGUCCUCAAAUUUACAGUCUGAUCCUGAUGAAAUAUUCCUAACUAACACGAACAUACCUGCAUAAUGAGGGUCAUAAUAAACACAGGCUGUCAUAUACAGUGUUGAAGGAUGGACCGUUUCCUAUAAAGUGACACCGGCCUGUCUUUUGAUCAUAAAUCUAACCUGGUUAUGUGCUUUUUUAAGUGCAAUGCAUCCCACACAGUGCCGGUAUUUUUAUGCCCGUGCAUGCUGCAGCUUUAAUAUCUCAGAGGAUAAUUUAAGAUUAUUAAAAAGUUCAGGAUAGUUUUGAAAAGUUCUGGUCAACAUUUUUAUCACUAACAUAAAUUUUGUGCAGAACAGAGUUUUCUUCAGGGGAUAAGGCGAAUAAAAUGUUGCACCGGCCAAUAAACCUUUCCUAAAACCUUUUCCUGGGAUUAUUUCGCAGUCUAACAACAAAAUUACUCGUAUUGUCCACCUCAGGGGAGAGAGUGGAUGCUGCAGAUAGAGGGACAGAAACAAGCUGUCUGUGAUUGGACGUCAGCGGCGGGAUGGCUUUCAGUCCAAACGACUUCUGAAAAAUACCCAGUGGAAAGAAACGCUAAAUAGAUCUGUCGAGGGGCAGGAAGAGUUGGAAUUUGAUGUCACCCCUGUGCCACUGCGUUUACCCGACACAAUUAAGAGCUCUUCCCGUCAGUGUUGCACUCUCUAACUUAAUCCAUCUGUGUCACCAUCCAGGUCCCCAUGCAGGACCUAAUCUAGGCUAAAUGCAUCUAUAAUCCAAUUAAUCUGUCAUAGCACAGGCCCACUGACGAUAUUUUUACUUUCUGCUGACACAUCCCAUUUCCCUCCUGGCAAAAUAAUGAGGCGGGAUAACUUAAUUUGGAUAACAGAGAGCUGUAAUGAAAGACAGUUAACACAGCGAAGGCCCAGACAAAGCCGCGCAUGGAAAGUGCAAAGGGUGUGAGUCUAUGUCUUUAUAAUGAGAUUUAUUCUCUGGCUCCAAACUUCUGUUGACUUUCUGUCAUCUUCACGAUGAGAACGGAUCGCUCACACCUCCAACAUCACCGCGCACAAUAGUACAGAUGUGACCUAACGCUGGUAAUCUCAUUAACGUCACUUCAGCCGAAAGGGAAGGUCGUUUGAAAUCGUUUAUGAAUCUGAGAGGAGUUUCUAUGUUUUAACUCGAGUUUUACUCCUACAGGUCCCAAAUGACACCACACAAACAUCCAAUAUGUUUCUAUUUCAAACUAGAGUAUAGAUACGAUCUCCCCGGAGAUGUUCAAACCUAAAAUAAUACUCACUUUAAUGUCAACAGACUCCAGUAAGAAAAAGCAGUAAUUGUACCUCAUUAGCUUGGGUUUACCGCUGCAAUGAUCGGCCCGUUUGUUUGUAUUGUUUUACUCCUUAACUCCAAACCAACACGACUCAAUUACAAACAAACUAGCCGGUGGUAGACCACCAAAUCCCACACCAGAAACUUUGAACUGAGCCGUGUAGCUAACAACUAACGACUGCCUGAGGUUCGAAAAAGGAAAGCUUUUGGUGAACAAAGUUUGUUUGGGUGGAUUUUACACAAAAAUAAACACUUCACAGCGUUUACAGUGUGUUUGCGGCUGCAGGCUGCAGCAGUCCGCCGGCACAACAUCAAAACUUUCUGUACUCAUUAGAUCUCAAAAUAUGUACAACCCCGAGUCCAGAAACACAAAAAUCAUCUUAACUCUAUAUUCAAACUUAAAUAACGCAAAAACAUCCUCUCACUUUUGACAAGUUUGGAAAGUUAAAUAGUCUUCAGACAGAGGAUUUCUCGAUGUCAAAGGCUACAGUAGGGACCAUAAGCAGGACUCUUCUACUACUGAGCCGUUCUGUUGUAAUCCUACAGGAUGUGGUUUGUCGUUGUCUCACAGGUCUUCCUGAUAAACUUUUUCUGGAUAGCAGCAUCAUUUUCAUAUCCAUAUUUAAAGGGAUAUUCCGGCGUAAAAUUAAUUUAGGGUCAAACACACAGUAACACAGAGUUAGACACCCCCGAGAGAGAUGAAUGUUGCCGACCGCUUGCUUCUCUAGUUAUACCAACUUUAGUAACGACCGCAGGAUAGAAAUACACAGCGUUCUGAGGAGCCAUAAACGAACCUCAACCAAAACGCCACAAAUAAUGCUCAGAACAGCACCUAACUUCAUCAACAGGACAUAUAGGGUCACAGACAUAGUACUAGACACCAAAAACCUUUUUAACUGCUCUUCCAGCAGCUACUUGUUUGUAGCGAGACCUCAGGCCAGUCCAUUACGGACUACAGCGGGGUGCCGCAGCUCAAGGAAGAACAUUUACGAUCAUUUCCUCAUGGAAAUACAAUCAGACCAAGACGCUAAGGCAGAAGAACUACAGCGUCUGUAAAAUGAUUAAUAUGGUGAUUAUUACUUCAAGGAAAUGAUAAAGAAAUUAUUGUUUGUAAAGUUUCUGUACCAUGGGAACGUCCAUUCAACCCAGUACAAUCAGAUAUGGUACUGGAUAACUGCUGGUAAUUUUGAUAUUGCAGGACACUUGCACAUGCACUCCUCUAAACUUGCAAUCAUUGAAAAUGUUUGUUUUAAGUCAUUUUUGAGCUCAUGCGGUGACUUCCACUACAGAGUCACAUCUGUUAUAUAGGGGUAUUGACUGGGGGCCCAAAUAACAUGCAAACCAUCAAAACCUGUUCCUCCACAGCGUCCAAACAGUUUGGAAGUCCGGGUUGUAAAUGCCGGGCGGAGUCUAAAGCUAUGAGGAUUACUCUGUGACUCUCAUCAGUGCACACUGUAGCUGAUAAUGGCGAGGUGCUGACUAACUCUUCUAAUGAGCUGCACUCCAUGAAAGACAAAAAUAAGACACAUUAAUAAUCCAGGCAGGGAGCCCUGCAACCGCUGAACCACAAAACACAACGCCGUGUCAUUGGAGAGUCGUCUUUCUCUGUUAAUUGUCAUUGAUUUAUUCCAAAAUAGUCUGCAGCAGGACAAAGUCUUGUCAUCUGGGUGAUAAUUAUAAGAUGUAACCUUGUACCUGCUGAGGGAGGAGACAGGCAUAAGCACCGGAUGACAUCUGAUGGGUGUUUCAGAUCAGCUCUACUUCUUUCAGUAAGCUUUUACUGUCUGACAUUUCUUUCUUGGCAGGAGCUGUUGGAUGAAAUGACAAAACUCCCUCUGCUCCACCAUCCUGAGGGAGCAGGGGGUUCAAUUUAUACACUGUCUGUUGUAAAAGCAAACUCAGGGCGGCUGAAGCCAAACUAUCACAGAGCCAAAAAGGCAGUAUUAAAAAAUCACUGCUUUUCAUAAUCUAAAAACUGAUUUUAAGAAGAACUAUGGAUAGGUCCAGUUCCAUCAACUGGGACAAGAACUGUGUGCAUGUAAAUCCAAACUGGAGCCCCAAACUUUCCCACACAAGAAUCAAGAGUAUUGUCUGUUUUCAGACAGGUAAUAUUCUGUCCUUCACAUUGCUGUGCUUUCAAAAAACGAUCAUUUGAAAAUGGUCCAUUUACCGCAAGAGCUGUUGAACGAAGAAGUGGGAACAAAUCACUGAAAUAGCAGCAAAGAAUGGCUGAUUAUCACACCUGCCUAUCAGCGGCUAUAGCACAUGCAUUUUGCAAGAACACUGGGAUUGAACAUUGCCAGCACGCCCUCUCUUCAACCUAUUCCUAUUUCCCGGGAAAUGUCAGUGCUUUUGAUAAUAAGGCGCUUCGCUUUGAAAAGUCAAAUGCCAGAGUGGGGCCUUUAUUGAACUCUCAGAGGUGGGUAUAAUCUACCUACGUCUGCAUGAGUUUUUUACAGAAAUGACACAAAUUAAAGUCUUUAUUGAGCAGACGCUGGAAUCCUAGAAUAUAACUGCCUAUCAGUUUUAAAGCUUGACAUUUGAAAUGUUCAGAUGCAGCAUUAAUGAUCCACUGGAUGGUAUUUACUCUGACUGAUGGUAUCAAAAUAGCUAAUCUGAAGAAACCCAGUUGUGCUUACCAGUGCAUGUACUGUUUCCAGGUUCUCUCAGACUGCAGUCGGUUAAAUGAACAAAAUGGGGACGAUAAAGAAGAUGGAUAAUUAGCUCCCCGGUUACAAAAAUUCUGCAAUAGCAACCAUUACAGCCACGCUGGGUUUGUUAGAUGGCCAUCGGAGGGUUCGAAGCGUGCUCGGUGCAGACCAGGAUGCAUUUGUCUGCUAAAUUAAAAUCACUGUAGUGGGUCUGGUUGUUCGGUUCAUACUGCAGAGAGACGGAGGGAUAGAGGGUGACCUACUCCACUGGACUGAGGUUUUUUCUCAGGUCUGCAUGUUGAAGUAGUUUGGUGGGUGAAGGAGUUAGCGUUCAGCAGCAGCAACAUCUGUGAGCAUGUAAACAAGCGUUCCUGUGAGUUUACAUCCUGUUUCAGCAAAGUGCAAACUAAUUAUCAAUAAAACAUGCUGCGAUGCAACGUGAGCGCGUGAUAUACAAAAUAAUGACGCAGGGUACAGCCAGUAACCUUCAGUUUGAUGAGUGUCAAACCUCCAUGAAUAAUAAAGUCAGAUAUGAAUGAACAAAAAGACAGACGCAUGUAUAGAAAAUUAAUCAACAAAUAGUCAGGACAACCUGAUCACAUGUUUUUUUUCUGUAUUUCUAUAUAAAAAGUCCCUUAUUUAAACCACAUCCACCUGACAAGUCCAGAAAAAAAAAUAUUAUUACAAGAUAUUAGUUGCAAAAAUAAAGUAAAAUAUAUAUAUAAAAUAUAAUAUAAAAUAAUCAAAUAAUGACUUUUGUCUUUUUUAAAUAAAAUAUUUCACUUCAAAAUCUUAACAAUUCACUUUUUCUCUUAUACCAUCAGUUUUUUAAUAUUUUUUUUACUCCUUAAAGCUAUUUAAUUACAGAGUAUUUAGGCGAAAUUGGAAAAACAAUUUAUAAUAGCAAUAAAGUCACAAGAAAAUAAGAUUUUAAGUUGCAAAAAGUCAUAAUCUUACAUUUAAUUCAGUCAUUAUAUUCAGAGAAUAAAAUCAUGAAAUUUAAGACUUGGUUUUAUGGUAACAAAGUCUCUGUAAAGUCAUAAUCUAGUAAAGUUGUAGUAAAUUAAUAAAGGUGGAAACGUUAAGUCAUAUCAUAAGGAUAAAAUAAAGUCUAUUUUAUUAGAAUGAAGUCAUGAAAAAGUCGUAGUUUUUGUAGCAGCUAACUUUCUGUACCAGGAUUCUCUUGUUGAAGCUAACUUUAGUCCAGGAUUUAGGAUUUUGUUUUAUUCUUGACUUUAUUCUAACAUCAUGACUUGAGUUUGACCUUCAUACUCUGUUGAACUAUUCAACUCUCAUUUUUCCUGUUUGUAAUAUUUUGUAUUUAGAAACUUUUCUGGACUUGUCAUGUGAAGCGGUCCUGAUAAUAGCAACAACUUUUAGACUUUAUCUUAUUUCUACUUUAUUUUAAGACAAAUCAGAAACUGAACUAUAUGAGCCAAACCAGAGCCAUCCUGCUCACCCUGUCAGGAUUCUGAUCUGCAUCAUCACCCCUUCACAACACGUUUUCUCAUUCAUUCACCAUCAGCCUGAAGUCGUUACAAAGGUAAACUCAUCCUCCUCCUCCUCCUCCUACCAGAAAAUAGCUCCAACAUGGCGGCGGCGGCGGCGGUCCUCCUCUUCAUUAUUUCAUUACACUCUGUUGUGUUAAAUGUCACAAUAUCCAUUUCAGCUGACAGAGAGAGAGAUGUGCCUGUUAGCUGAAACCACCUCUCUUCAGAUUUAUGCUCUACCCCCCCACACACACUCACACUCACACACUCUUAACGUGCUAAUGAUUUUCAGACCUUCCUCUUUAAUUCACCCAGCAGCUGUACUCGCAGCUGUAUGCCCGCAGAGACAGCCAAUCACAAUCCAGACUGCUGCAUUUUUCCGUCACUCUCUGCCUCUCUUCUCUCAUCUUUCGCUCUAUUUUUCUUCUUUAUGUGCUCAGGAUCGAGCUGACAUUCUUUCCUGUCACUCUGUUCUCUGUUCAGACUCCUCCGUUUGUUCAUCCGUCUGUUUUUGGAAAAACUUUUGACAGAAAUGAAUCAGGUAUUUUUUCUUCUUCUCCUUUUUUUUACACAGUAUCCUCAUGGGAUUCGUUUAAUUUGCUGCUAAAGCUGCUCAUUACAGCAUGAAAUAUGUAUUUUUUGCUGUUUAGGCAAACAGCACUCAGACUAAUUUUGUCUAUGGUAGCUUUAUUAUGGAGUCAUCAUUUCUACAGAGGAGAUUGUUUCAAUAAAACAUGAGACUCCUAUAAAAAAACCAACAGUCACUGAGUGCAAAACAAAUGUGCACACGGAAACAUAUUUCCCUUUUUGGUUCAUGUCAGUCUGCACACGACAAACAAUUAUAAUUGCAUUAGGAGUUUGCAGUAUAUAUUCCAUGCUCACAACAGGAAGCCUUCUUUGUGUCUGUCAGCACAAACCAAAAGAUGGUGGCGAGCUCUGCAGCCCGGGCGGCGAGAUCAGACCGAGAAACCAAAAGUCAGUGUUGACGUAUUUUUGUAGCUCAGACCAAGAUCAAAAAACAAACUCAGAACUUUUUUAGAUUUAUUGGCUCGAGCCACAACAACUCACUGGAGGAUUUAGAGUUGGAAAAUGUGCAUUUGACAAAUAAGCAGAGAUGUUAUUAGUGAAUGAAUGAACCCAAACCUCACUACUAUCAACGAAGGCUGGGCUACAUUAUUGGACAAGUAACAGAUAUUAGAGAGAGCUGCACGUCUGCAUAAAAAACUGCACAUUGCUGAACACGAGGAAAGUCUAAACUACAGUUAUGGUUGGGAGAUUCCACCGACUUCUUUCCAGCCCCCUGCAGAUCAGUGGGCUUUGUAGCCGAAUGCCAGAGUUCUAUUUUUUCCGGACGCUGCAGCAUGCCGGAUAAAUUCAGCACAGAUUAACCCGUGCUGGAAAGGAAGUCGGGCACAGACACAAAAUAAAACAUCCGGCUUCUUUUCAAAAUAAAAUACUGUGUUUCAGGAGGAUCAUAUUUCACACCAUGCAAACGGGCGGAGACGAACAAGUCAAAGGUUUUUAGACGUCACUUCACCCCGAUGACACCAUGGAUGAGGAGAUGCUGAUUCUAGAAGUCUAGAAGUAGAUUUCCUCCU